rnacentral:rRNA from 1 species
UCCGCCCGGGUAAUACGAGCAUUAGCUUAAAACCCAAAGGACUUGGCGGUGCUUUAGACCCCCCUAGAGGAGCCUGUUCUAGAACUGAUAACCCCCGUUAAACCUCACCACCCCUUGUUUUACCCGCCUAUAUACCACCGUCGUCAGCUUACCCUGUGAAGGUAACGUAGUGAGCACAAAUGGCAAAGCCAUAAACGUCAGGUCGAGGUGUAGCGAAUGGGGUGGGAAGAAAUGGGCUACAUUCUCUAUUG